UCCCUUUUAUGUUAUACAACAAAGGAAAUAACCCAACUGAAGAAACAAAUCAAAUUUGAUACAGCAAAAUCCGCAUACCAGAUCGACCUAGAGACCGAGAAGGAAGUCCAAAAAUUCUAAAUUUGGUGAAGUAAAUUUGAUUUUGGCGGGUCAAAGAGGCGGGAGCCAAAUCAUGAAGCAAGGGUUUAUCAUUCUAUGUCUUUCAUUCCAUCCUUAUCUAUCAUCUACACCACAAAUUCGCUGUGUUUUCAUCUUCUACGAUUAGAGUUCAUUAGUUGGACAAGCUAUUGGAGCUCAUGUUGCUUGGCCUGCUCCAUUUGUGAUUUCGCAAGUUAUGAAUGCUAGCCGAGAAUAUUUAUACAAGUGAGGUUGAGAGUUUGGGAAUUGAUUUUGUUUUGAUAAUUUGUCUCUCUGGAAUAUGGAUGUCACUAUGGCUUUUCAGAACUUAUGGUUGGUAUAAUUUUCUUUUUAAUUUUUUUUGCUUUAACUUUGUUAGUGUAGUAAAAUAUUUUAUAAUUUCGGUAAGGGAUUUUUAUUGCAAUAUAAAU